GACGAACGCUGGCGGCGUGCCUCAAACAUGCAAGUCGAGCGGGGCUAUGUAAUAUCGCAAGGUAGAACAUAGCCUAGCGGCGAACGGGUGAGUAACACGUGGGUAACCUGCCUGGAAGACAGGGAUAACGAUUCGAAAGGGUCGCUAAUACCUGAUAAUAUCCUUUCAUCGCAUGGUGAUAGGAAGAAAGGGGAAACCCGCUUUCAGAUGGGCCCGCGUCCCAUCAGCUAGUUGGUAAGGUAAAGGCUUACCAAGGCGACGACGGGUAGCCGGUCUGAGAGGAUGUACGGCCACACUGGGACUGAGAUACGGCCCAGACUCCUACGGGAGGCAGCAGUUGGGAAUCUUAGGCAAUGGACGAAAGUCUGACCUAGCGACGCCGCGUGAGGGAAGAAGGCCUUCGGGUUGUAAACCUCUGUCAUGGGGGAAGAAGGAAGUGACGGUACCCCAAGAGGAAGCCCCUGCUAACUACGUG
rnacentral:rRNA from 1 species